UACGGAGGGUGCAAGCGUUAUCCGGAUUUACUGGGUUUAAAGGGUGUGUAGGCGGGUCUUUAAGUCAGUGGUGAAAUCUCCGAGCUUAACUUGGAAAACUGCCAUUGAUACUAUUGAUCUUGAAUUUUGUUGAGGUAGGCGGAAUAAGUCAUGUAGCGGUGAAAUGCAUAGAUAUGACUUAGAACACCAAUUGCGAAAGGCAGCUUGCUAAACAAAUAAUUGACGCUGAGGCACGAAAGCGUGGGGGAUCAAACAGG
rnacentral:rRNA from 1 species